rfam:Ixodes scapularis strain Wikel colony gcontig_1108379038252, whole genome shotgun sequence.
CCCUGGUCAGCUCAGUUGGUAGAGCGCUCCACUUGUAAUGGAGAGGGUCCCGGGUUCGAUACCCGGACCAGGCG